GCUUUUUGUGCUCUGUAUUGGGAAGGCAGAUAAAAUGCCAGGUCUGGACUGCCUCUGGGGAUAACCUCACCCUGUGGGAUGUGAAUGAAUAGCAUCUUGCCUGGUAAAUCCACAGGAAUUGAUAAGGCGGGCGCAGUUCUCCCAAACAGGCCUUUUCUCUUUAAGCUCUAGCUGUGGUUUCUGCAGCAAUUUUGUUUUUGCCUUGAAAGAGGUGCUCUGGAUUAUCAGACCUCCAUGUAUGACAAUUUGUACCUGCAUGGAAUUGAAGACUCGGAGGCUGGUUCAGCGGAUUCCUACACAAGCAGGCCGUCUGACUCCGAUGUCUCUUUGGAAGAGGACCGGGAAGCAAUUCGACAGGAGAGAGAACAGCAAGCAGCUAUCCAGCUUGAGAGAGCAAAGUCCAAACCUGUAGCAUUUGCCGUGAAGACAAAUGUGAGCUACUGCGGCGCCCUGGACGAGGAUGUGCCUGUUCCAAGCACAGCUAUUUCCUUUGAUGCUAAAGACUUUCUACAUAUUAAAGAGGUAAAUGUAGAACAUACUGCAUCCCUUCAUCUGCCAAAAAGCUGAAGCUAGGAAUCAGCUCUGAGCCAAACUAGCCAGAGAGGAGACCCAAGGAGCUGCCAGUGCAGUACCUCAUUUAAUUUCCUGAGCCUUCCAAAUCUAGUCAUUCUCAUUAAGAUUGAGAAGUCUGAGAUCAUUGCUUGCAUUAUCACACACUGACAACAUUAAAUCACAGUCAACCUUAAAAUUAUAGCAUGGAUUUCUGACAGACCUCUAUGGUCCUCUGGGCACCUUUAAAUCCCCUUCUGUGACUGCAGAGCCAUAAAUGUAUGGAUCCAACUUAGGAAAAUGUAAGUUUGGUGGCAUGGCACCUACCCAGAAGGGACUGUUUACAGGGGAUGUUGUAAUUAUAGACAUGUAGACUAUAGUCCUGUGCACCUUGACCAUGGAACCAACACUAGAGUGUAUAAUCAUUCAAAGAAAGAUUUACAGCUAAGAAAAGGGCAGAGGACUCUGGGAAACAGAAAGGCAAAAGGGUAAAGUGUUUGAGUAGCCAAGAAGGGUGGGAUCCAAGACCCCUAGUGGAGGGACAGACCUUUGAUAGAAAGAAGAAUGCUAAUUCAUUGUGACAUGCAGGGAAAAGAUGAGUGCAGGCACAGACACUUCAGGGCCUUGGGAAUAGGAAACUGAGGACCCAUCAACUUCAACCAUGGCCUCUACUUUCUUGAUGGUACAUGAGGUGAGGAUGUCUACAUUUGUCUAGAAGACCAGAACUCUUGACCUGAAACAUGUGCCCUGGCAUCUGAAUGGUUAAGUUGAUUAUGUCUCACCAUUUCCAUCAAAAAUGCCCAAGCCAUAUUCAUUAGUUGCUAACACCCACUGUGUCCAAGGAGAAGCAGCACUUGAAAAGGUAAGAGAUGUUCUUACAUGUGACAUGCACAUUCACUCACACCAACAUUCCAACCUUGUAUUUGAUUGCUUUCCUGCAUUGUAUCAAUGUCUCAAUUUGUCCUGGCUGCUGUUUGAGCUAUGUGCUUGUUGAUCAGUGAUUUUCUCUUCAGUCUGGCAGUUUGAUGUGACAUUGAGCUGGUAAUCUUAUGUGGACCAGAGCCACUUGUUUUCAUGUCUUGAAAUUAUCAGAUAAGAAAACAUCUUUGAAAUAGAAAGUGCUAAUCAUUUUAGGGAAAUCCAAAUAGAGAAGGGUUGGAACAACACCGAGGUGACCUCUGUAGAGAGCUGGCACAAGUUCCCAGAACAUCAACACAAAUGAACACAUUUCUAUAAUCAAGUUAUAGCCUUUCCUCUC
rnacentral:sRNA from 1 species